UAUAAGGGAAAAAUCUCAGUUGACUCACGUACAACGAGAGAUCAGAGUGUUGGCACUUGAUUGUUGGCAUUCUGAGAAAUAUUUUCUUUGUCGGCCUCUGGAUCGAUUCAAGGCAAGUACCGACGUAGACGGAAUUACAACUCACACAGUAAAGAAACGCGAACAAUCUGAUUACCAUCAAGUAUCUUGUCUAACGGUCUACACAACCUACCAACAACACGUGCGCUCGCAUACCAACAGAGGAAUCCAUACAUGUCUUUAAUUUUCUGCUAUUCUUUAAAUAUGUUCGGUGAGACCGACAUAAAAUCGGAUAAAUCCACUGAAGUUGAGGCUUGUUUCUCAAAAAGAAAAGAAAGUUGGCAGAGUGGUAGAGUCUGUAAAACGACAUAUGCGCACAAGCGUGAAUGUUUUUACUCAACUUUUAGAAAGACGUGAAUAAGUAUUAUUUUGUCAAAUGGACUAUUCAGUUUCAGUGAAACAUCAAAAUAAAUGUUAGACUAAGGACUUGAUAAUGUCGAAGCUAUGCCAUACACAAUUAUUAUCUCGCAAUAAGAAAUUGUGUUUUAGUUCACAAAUGGAUAAGGAAGUGCCCUAAAUAAAUUUAGCCAAGCAAAACUCAAAGGUAAAAAAAUGCAAGAGAAAAUCCAUCCUGGUUCUCUUUGCCGUAGGAAAAUGAAAAUCAGCACUGAAUUACUUUGCAUAAUGCAAAGGCCAUGAGAAAAGGUUUAAACAAUAUUUUUCUUAUUUAAAAAUAUACAUUAACUGCAACAUUCCUAUUAUAAUUAAUAAAUUACAACAACAAAAAAUGGCGUAAUCACUCACCAAGACUUCCACUUUUCAGAUAUUGGCAUGCUAUAAAAAUGUUUGCAUUACACAUGCGCAUUAGCACGACUUCUGACGUGGACAAACCUAAUACCUCAAAUCAUGAUUCAUAUCAUAUAUAUAUAUAUAUAUAUAUAUAUAUAUGUAUAUAUAUUAUAUAUACACACACAUAAAUGUAUAUAUUUGUGUGUGUGUGGAUAAACAGUCGUUAGCGCGCGCGCACACACGCACACACAUUAUGUGUGUAUGCUAAACAUUAAUGGAUGCGUCUAUGCAUAAUUCGGUUCUUUAAACACAUAUUCAGUAAAGAAAAUUAGCAGGUCUUCCUGUUAGAUAAAUAUCGAUCUAAAACCUGGAAAUUGAAUAGAUCUUAAUUUAUAAAUUCUCUCACGUCGUAAAGACGUCCCCGCCCCAAAACGCCCAGCAUUUUGAAAUAGUGUUUCUUUGAACUCUGUUGUUUUUUAGCCCCAGUUCAGUUCUGCUUCAGCAGACCUAUGAUAAAUGGCGUCCCAUAUGUGACCUUCUCGCCUUUUUGUGAAUUACGGCUUAUGCUUAGACUCUGCCCAGCUCUGCUAAAUCGAGCUUUUGAUUAAGCGGCAUUGCAUCCUUAUCCAUUCUGCUUCUUAGACGAACCUAGAACAACGCUGUUUUCUAUGUCCUUUAGAUGAAGCACUAAAGUGAUAAAUACUAGGAAAUGUGAGGGGAGAAAAAUAAUUCACAUCCACGAGAUAAGCUGCUAGAAAAUAUCUAAUACAUAGUAACUUGUUUAUCUUAUCCCUCUCAUCACAUUCUGUAUGUCUCCUUCUGUCUCUCUCUCUCUCUCUCCCUCACUCACACACACACACACACAGAGUUCCCCGCUUGUUUUGUUUUCAUGGUUAUUUAAAAGAACAGAAAACAAAACAAAAAUUCUAAAAUGUGUAUGUCGACAUGCCGAGUAAAUUAAGAUUGUUUGCUAAGAUUCUUUCAAUUAACAAAUCCAAUUGAUCGUGAACCGAAUCUCCCAUAAAAGCAAUUCCACUUGGCUUAUACUGCUAAUGCCCAUGGAAAAGGUUUGGAAGUCAUAGUAACCCCCUCCCUUCUUGUGUAAAUCAGAUGUCUUGUACCUAGCCAAAAAGAAGUUGACAUCAUGCAAUAAAUAAGGAACCAAUCAUGAUAUAAAGACGUUUAUUGUGAAAAUCUUUGUCUCAUUCUUUUCUGUUCCGUUUCAUUAGAUUCAAUUUCCUACCCUGAAAACAGCGCAUUCAGCCUCUGAUAGAAAGCGUAUAUUGAUUUUUCUUAUAUUAAAAAGGGAUUCACGGGAUAGAAAUUUUCUAGUGGAUUUUCUUACCGGCCAUUCAUUUACUACAAUUUACUACUAUACAAAUCUGAUAUCUUCACACAUUUCAAUAAACAAGCAAGGUACAACUAACUGUUCUUCGUAUAUCUCAAAUAUCCGGCUGUACAUGCAUUGAACCUUGCGUACCGCACUGGGAAGCAUCAGCUCCAUUUCAAAACAUAGAAGAUAGCCAGCAAGAAAACAUCACAUGAUUCACGAGCUUCCACGUCUCACAAAUUGUAACAUAGCUUUCUGGGUUAAAAAGGGAUUUUUACUAACUUUAACGAAUCCUCUUAAUUUUAGCAUCUUGGAAUUUGUUACCUAUUUUGCAUUCAGUUCCACUCAAAGCACACACACACACACACACACAGACUCUUUCCAAACUACCUCUUUUUACACAACCACAUGCUUCACACCCUCAAGCACAAAAUUGUUUACUUCACUUUAAUUCAACAAUUAUCAUCGUUAAGAAAUUCAAAUCCAGAAUUUUCAGCAUCGAAGAAACAAAUUUCAGUUCGCAAAGUAAUAAAAUAUACUCUCACAUAGAGAUGCAAAUUGUCUGCACUGUAGGGAAUGCGAUUUUAUGUAAUUCACCACAACGUUGUCCAUCGUCUUCAGGAGACCAGCUGGUAGAGAUUUUGACACCAAAAGUUCGGGGUGAAUCAUGCAAUGUACAAUUUUAACUUGUGAAGGUUUGUUUUAUAAUACAUGAGCCACGAAGCCUAUUUUUUCGAUCGUGCAUGGAUGGAGCGCCAUCAGGGCGAACGCUAAUACAAGUUUUCCACUGCAUCCCUCUCAAUACAUUUUGGUUUACCAGGUUAAAGUCAUAUUUUCCUGUCGUUCUUUCCUUCAAUUCACAACGAAAGAAAAACUGAUUUAUGAUUUUACCACCUCUGAUGAUUCACAGAAAUGAAAUUAGUUGAGCUUCGUUACUGAUGUUGUAAGGCCCACAAGUUUUCGAGUUCAUUUUUUGCUUCAGUGAAAUCUUGGCGAAGCUGAUCAUCAUUGUCUCACGAAAUGUCUUGAAUUUUACGAGAAAUCAUGUGUGCAGGCAAAGGAAUGGUCUUAAUUUGUUUGAAGGUUUGUCCUUCUGCUGGGAUAAUUUGUUAUUAAAUGACACUGAAGUUUACUUGGAUCCAUCGCUUCAUUUGAGAGUGUUGUUAAAUUAUACAAAAGGGAACCGAGUUGUCUUUUAUCCGAUAAUAUAAAACCAUAUUGGAUGUAAUUUUCAUUACAUUUUCGUUUUGAUGAGGUGGACUUUCUAUUCUGGUGUUCGUCUCGUUUUUUAUGACUCUCUUUCUCAUUUUUCUGGGGUGUCAAUAAAAAUUCGUCCAUGUUUAAAUCUAAAAUUAAAAAUCGAUUGAAGUUAACGUAAAAUAAUUCAUGUAAAUUAUAAAUAAAUCAAAAAUUAAAUCUUCUUGGACUACUAUACAACUUACUUACAAUCCCGGUUUACAUGCAAAAAUGUAAUAUUUUUUCUACUCUAGGCACAGGGGCCGAAAUUUUUUGGGAGGGGCCAAUAGAUUAGAUCGACUCCAGUACGUAACUGAUACUUAAUUUAUCGAUCCCGAAAAGAUGAAAGGCAAAGUCGACCUCGGCGGAAUUUGAACUCAGAACGCAAAGAGAAGUGUAACAUAUUAUAGCAAAUGUUCUGUCCGUCGUGUAACGUCAUUUAUAUUUACCAUAUUUUACGAUUUAUAUAAAUUUAUAUUUACGCUCGAACUAUGCAAAUGUUCUUGGAUCGUUGUUUCUCGAAAAUCCCGAAAUUACUUUCCGCGGCACAGUUUGACAAACACUGGCUUAAACGAAUACAACAUUGCUAUUCGAUAGACGUAUAUCAAGUUACUCAAUUGUUACACAAUGUGCACUACAGUUUACUGAAUUGGUAUUAAAAUAUUUUUGCAUUACAUACAAACUAAAUACUUAAAACAUAAUCUCAACUAGCCAAAUGGUAGCCUCACAUUACAUCUUUCCCUCCUAGGAAAGACGAGUUGAUUAAAGAUGGAAUUUUUUGAUCACAGGAUUGCUCAGUCAAAGCUAACUUGACCAAACAAUAGUACAACUAUUGUGUGUAUGUAUCAUACACACACAGACGAAAGGAAGUGACAUUCAACGCAUUUGGAGUUACAUAUAUCUAUUUAGUAAUAGUUUGAUCCAGUUCCACGCAGUUUAGUUUCGUAGAACGAACCUAAACUGUCAGACAACAAAGCAGAUACGAGACAAAUUCAAGGUUGGCCUCUAUUGGUCAACUCAGUUCUCGAAGUUUUAUUGGUCCGUCUGGAUGUGACAUCAAUUUUUUUCUUAAGUUUUUAUAUUCGCGUAGUCGGACAGGAUGUUGGUAGGUACUCGUCACCGCUAAGUCUGGAGAUGGCAGUAUAAUUUCUUUAGUGACAUCAGUUCAUUGCAUUUGAUACUACACAUGGCAAAGCGAUAGUUGUCGCAGGUUAGUGAAAAACUAACACCUGGGAUUAACUACCUUGCUCUUGUGUACUUACAGGUUCAAGGAAAAUGCUUUUCAUUGGCGUCAGGAAACUCCUAGCUACGCUGCUUAAAACGUCUAGAUUGAAUGGCGGAUUGUACCAAAUUAUCUUUCUCUUUCUGACUCUCUUCAGGUUCGAGAGUGAAGUUGUGUCCUCCAUAUAUACUAUCUUCUCACUGAAUUCACUACUCGCUAAUGCUUCCCUAUAAUGCAGGGCAGCCCUAUUGAGGAUCUCUCUAUCCACUGAUAGUUAAGAGAUUCUUCUACUUAUGCCUAGGUUUCUAUUUAUGACUAAGAUUCUAACUAUAGCUGGUGGAUGGUUGGAGUUUCCUCGUAAGGCUUCCUGUAAGAGUAGUACUUGUCCGUUUUCAGGUCGCGGGUUACAUCCAAGAAGUCUACCCAUGUCAAGUUGGUGGUGGUUGUUUUAGAUGGACCAAAUUCUUUGAUGAUCUUUGUUAAAUCCUUCCUGAACUUGUCCUUGGUAUAGCCGUUCAUGUGGCUUGAGAUUGCGAAACUGCCGUCCCUAUAAAGGGCUGAGUUAUGGAGGUGUGUGCGUUUCUUUAGAGUAUCCCGGAGAGAAUACCCGACAAAGUCAGCGAUCUCAGACCAAGUACCCGUCAUAGCUCCCCAUAGUCAUAAGUAGAAACCUAGACAUAAGUAGAAGAAUCUCUUAACUAUCAGUGGAUAGAGAGAUCCUCAAUAGGGCUGCCCCGCGUUAUAGGGAAGCAUUAGCGAGUAGUGAAUUCAGUGCGAAGAUAGUAUAUAUGGAGGACACCGCAACUUCUCCCCCGAACUUGAAGAGAGUCAGAAAGAGAAUGAUAAUUUGGUACAAUCCGCCAUUCAAUCUAGACGUUUCAAGAAGCGUAGCUAAGAGUUUCCUGACGCCAAUGGGUCGCCUUCCUUCUUCACCCAGUAGGAAUCCUUGUGAACCAAUAUUGACUUUCAUGAUAAUUCUAAUAUCGCUGAUAUGGUUGAAUUGCCUAAAGCCUUCAGAGACAAGGAUUUCGACACUGAAAAGUAGAAAUCUAUGAUAUCGAAGUGGGUGAACCUACAGACUGCUUUAUUUUGAUACCUCUGAACCAAUCGAUUACUGCGAUGCUGCAAUCUCAUUGGAUCAGCCCCGCAGCUUUUCUAAUAGCGAACCG